rnacentral:ncRNA from 1 species
GUACAAGAAAACGAGCCAUUUAAUGCUUUUUUUCUUAUGCAGUUUUGCCUCACGCUCAGACUCGCCAAAGUUUGAGAGCGUGGGGCUUUUU